rnacentral:lncRNA from 1 species
UUUUAUGAAAACAAAAACAAUUCCACGUCUACUCGUAGAAAACAGAAAAAAGCUAUUUUCAUUCUCACAGGAAACAACACUGAAAACACGCUGCUUCUCUCCCCAUCAGACCAAAACCACCGUCAAACGCUGCCAACAGAGAAUCACACACAGAGCUUGAACCACCAACAUCACCCAAUCAAAAUCACCACUGCCCCAUCGAACCAGAUUGACAUCACUGCCACUCAAUUGAACCCAACAAAAUCUCUACGCAAUUGAAUUGAACUACCAUCGUUGAACAACUAAUUGCCGAAUCAAUUUUCAGUCCAAGAAAAGGAAAAUGAGCUGAGAAGCUAUUGGAAGGUGAGGUUGCAGUGAGAGAGAGACAGAGAGAGGGUGCAGCAGCAUGAAGAGAAAGUGGAAAAAAAGGGGGUUGGUCUGAUUCUUCAAUUUUGGAGAGAGAGAGAGAGAGAGAGAGAGAGAGAGAGAGAGAGAGAGAGAGAGAGGAAUGAUAGAAUUGGGGUGGGUUUGCAGAGAGUGAAAGCGAAGGUUGGGU